GACGAACGCUGGCGGCGUGCUUAACACAUGCAAGUCGAACGAAGUGGCGAACGGGUGAGUAACGCGUAAUCAACCUGCCCUUCAGUGGGGGACAACUUUUGGAAACGACUGCUAAUACCGCAUACUGAAGGAGGGGUUUGCGUCUGAUUAGCUAGUUGGAGGGGUUACGGCCCACCAAGGCGAUGAUCAGUAGGCGGUCUGAGAGGAUGAACGGCGAAAAUGGGACUGAGACAAGGCCGAGACGCGUAAGGGAGGCAGCAGAGGGGAAACUGCCGGAAAGGACGAAAGGCUGACGGAGCAACGCCGCGGGAGUGAAGACGGGGUGCGGGGUGGAAAGCUAUGUUAAUCGGGACGCGGUACCGGAAUAGAAAGCCACGGCUAACUACGUGCCAGCAGCCGCGGUAAUAC
rnacentral:rRNA from 1 species